rnacentral:rRNA from 1 species
GAUGAACGCUGGCGGCGUGCCUAAUACAUGCAAGUCGAGCGAACGGACGAGAAGCUUGCUUUUCUGAUGUUAGCGGCGGACGGGUGAGUAACACGUGGAUAACCUACCUAUAAGACUGGGAUAACUUCGGGAAACCGGAGCUAAUACCGGAUAAUAUUUUGAACCGCAUGGUUCAAAAGUGAAAGACGGUCUUGCUGUCACUUAUAGAUGGAUCCGCGCUGCAUUAGCUAGUUGGUAAGGUAACGGCUUACCAAGGCAACGAUGCAUAGCCGACCUGAGAGGGUGAUCGACCACACUGGAAGUGAGACACGGUCCAGACUCCUACGGGAGGCAGCAGUAGGGAAUCUUCCGCAAAGGGCGAAAGCCUGACGGAGCAACGCCGCGUGAGUGAUGAAGGUCUUCGGAUCGUAAAACUCUGUUAUUAGGGAAGAACAUAUGUGUAAGUAACUGUGCACAUCUUGACGGUACCUAAUCAGAAAGCCACGGCUAACUACGUG